rnacentral:lncRNA from 1 species
AUAUAUAGCAAAGACAGAAAAAUGAUGACUUGGGACAAGCUAUUGAAAUAAUAACUUGAUGUCUAGCAGAUCAGGAUGCUUUUGAAUAAUCUGAUGUGGGGAAACAAAACAGCCAGUAAAUUGUGAAGGAGUAAAGGUAAAAGUUAAGCUAGUCUAUAUGCAUUACUAUUUAUUCACUCAUUUACUGUUUUCAUUCAUUUAUUUGACACAUACUUGUUGAGCAUCUACUGGGGCUGGGCAUCUUUUAGAAAAUGGGAACACCAAUGAAUCAGACACUGCCCUACCCUCAUGGAUCUUAUAAAAGCUAUUCUUUGACAAGAUGAGACUUUUCUUCUUCAAUUCUGGUAAAUUCAGUGGACCAUAUAAUUCAUUUCAAACUGUUUUCAUGUAGGAGAGAUUUGUGUAUGAUUGAGAGCAAGGAAAAGAGGCUUAGAAGGGGAAUUCAAACAUUGAAGACACAAAAGAAAAAAUAAAUAAUAAAAUACCGUGAUCUCUUUGAAAUUGAGAAUUAGAUGAAAUGAAAGAAAUAUAAAAAGGUAGUUUGGCCCUGUGGGGAAGAUGAGCUGUUCUUCCUCUGACACAGAAAAGAAGGAAGAAAGAACAUGCUGGAAGCAGAGCAAAGAAGAGAGGCUUAUGUUUCCAUACAAGAAUUUUGGGAUCCACGUGGAGUGCAAGAGGUUGGAAAAGGAGUUCUCAAAAAAUAAAAUGUUCAGUGGGGCGCAGUGGCUCACGCCUCUGAUCCCUGCACUUCGGGAGGCUGAGGUGGACGGAUCACCAGGUCAGUAGAUCGAGACCAUCCUGACCAACAUGGUGAAACCCCAUCUCUACUAAAAAUACAAAAAAAAUUAGCUGGGUGCGUGGCGGGCGCCUGUAGUCCCAGAUACUAGGACGCUGAGGCAGGAGAAUGGCGUGAACCCGGGAGGCGGAGCUUGCAGUGAGCCGAGAUCAUGCCAAAGCACUCCAGCCUGGGUGACAGAGCGAGACUCUGUCUCAAAAAAAAUAAAAUAAAAUAAUAAAAAGUUCUUGUUUGCUCUACAAGAGUAGCUUAACUUCUUUCCAAAGUAUAUUUCUGGAUUCAUGUGAGAUUUGUAGUUUAAAAUGGGGUUAUAAAAGAAAAAAAAGAAAGAAUGCCACCACCUCAAUCCAAAUAAAUAAAUUCUCUUAAGACUGUGUCACAUCAGUGAUACAGAUAGGCUGGAAUAUCUUCUAAAAGGCUCUUACUAUAAAUGCGUAAUUCACAUUGGUCCCAAUUGUCUGUGAAUGCAUCAUCCUCGUGGUUUAAACCUAAGUUCCUGAAGUGCAAUCAAACUGCCUUGCUUCCUUGUCAAUGCUGAGUUGAGAUCAUGUUCCAUGUAGCCAAAAAUUGUGAAAAGAGGAUAGAAAGCUGAUGAGUACCUGUUUCACUUCAUCCAACAAAGCACUUGGUCAAUCCAAGCUGGCUGUCAAGGUUUCUGAAAUAGGGUACCCCUUCCAGAGGGCAGAAUAGAUCUUAAAUAAUGGUCCUAGGCUCUGCAAACAACUAGCUGGGCAGCUUUUAUUCUUAAUUGUUUAGGGUCAUGGGUUAUUCUGAUUUGCCAGGCCUGUGUCACUUGUCUACUUUCUAUAUAAGCAGAAUUACUAUGGGGUGAAGGAGAAAUGCAAAUAAAAAUUAUGCUAAUAAAGUAUUUAAGUAGGCAGUAUUUUCUCAAAAUGAAUGAUGCUGGGUUAACAUGCGCAUACAUGUAGUAGAAUAACAGAGCAAAAUAUUUGUAGUGGAUGACUUUCACUUCAGACAGAAACACAGUAUCCAUUUCCCA